rnacentral:tRNA from 1 species
GCAUUUGUGGCUCAGUGGUUAGAGUUGUUCUUUCCGAUUACGUCGUAAUGGAACGGGUCGCAGGUUCGAAUCCUGUCAAAUGCG